UUUAAUAUGGCAGAUUAGUGCAUUGGAUUUAAGAACCAUUUAAAAAGAUUUUAUUUUUGUCUUUUAUUAAAA
rnacentral:tRNA from 1 species